CAAUUCAAGUUAUAUGCACAGGAUGAUAAAUUAAGUGCGACGUGUGCCGUAAAUUCAUUUCUAAUGUUGAAGAUGGUCAAUAAAUGCUUUUUAACGAUUGAUUUAUUUGAGAGAUAAAUGUAUUUUAGUGGAAAUAAUGAGCAUGGGACUAUUUGUUUGGUGUCGAAUUAUUGUGACUUUAAUACAACUGAAAUAGGAUCAUGAAAUAUAAUGACUGAUAUUAUAAUUCAAGUUCAGUGUCGUGUUUAAUGGUUUCUGUGAAGGCUUGUUAUAUAUUGUGAUAAAAUAGUUCGAUGAAAAUAAGAAAAAAAUUGUUCAUAAAUCUUUUAAUUUUAAACUUAGAGACAUCCUUGAACCAGUGACCUUGUGGGUUCAGUUCCGACAAGCAUCAGGACCACAACUCGUGAGACACCCAGGAUAUUUUCCCUUAAAGUAUGCUGGUAGUGUGAUUACUGGAACUGACUUAGAAUUAUUACCUCCCACUCGUAUAUGAUUUGUUUUUGUUUACAUCGGAGAACAUUUCACAACGACAAGUCACACCAAACUAAUCAUACUAGGGAAGUCCGGGCAUCAACGUCAGUGUUUUGGACCAAUGGAGCUGUAACACUAUAUCCAAGAGGUCAAUAAAGUCAUGCCGGAUCACAACAAUUUGUUCCUGUUGGGUUUAACGACACACAACACAGUCAUAGGUCAUAUUUAUGGCGACUUUCUAACUUUUCAUGGUGGAGGACGACCCCAGAUACCCUCCGAGUAUUUCUUCAGGCACAGGCGGGCACUUAGGUAGAUCCUUCUGUAACCCCUCACUUGAAAGAAGCCUACACCCAAAGCGAGGUUUCGAACCUACAGUAGUGAGGGGCUUGAUAUUCAAAGUCAGCGACCUCAACUACUCGGCUACAGCAGUAAGGGGCUUGAUAUUCAAAGUCAGCGACCUCAUCUACUCGGCUACAGCAGUGAGGGGCUUGAUAUAUUCAAAGUCAGCGACCUAAACUACUCGGCUACGGAGGUACCUACUUUUCAGAGGAAGAACUUGGAACGUCAGUUUUUUUGUAUAUGUUUUAUUGUUCUACUCGGUGUUUUGUUUAUCCCUAUUUUUAAACCAAGCAAAAUACGACUCUGAAAAUAUGACAACAUGAAAAGAUUAUACUAAUAUCAUGAUUACUAUUAUCGUAAAUAAUAAUGGUAAUAGUGAAUCAAUUAAUACUGAUAAUGAAAAAAUAUUGAUAAUAACUUGUAAUAAACUAUAUAAGAUAAUAAGCAAUGAUGUGUUUGCUAUAUCUUGGGUUUUCCGUUAAUCUGAUAUCAUAAAGGAAAAGUUUCCAAGGAUUCCACGAUUGAUAUUUUCACGCGUGCAGCUCAUUUUACGGUGCGGUUUAUAAACAUAUUUUAUGACUUGUGUGUUUAUGCCUUAUUUUCAGUAAAUUGUUAUGUGAUGAGACGAGUGCCUAUUUUAGAAUGUCCCGUUUCGCUUAAGGCAUGCAGUAAUUAAUGGCUAAAGUUCGUUCUAAACCCGCUCUUUCCUCUCUGAAAGCUAUCCAGGCCAGUCGCACUACUGAGGUGUCUACCCCGGAAAGGGGACUUUGAGUCUUAAAGUAUGACGUAUAUUAUGCCAACAAUGCAAACAAAUCAAGAAAUAAUUAUAGGUCCGAAUGUCUUUGUAGAACAGAUAUAUUUUACUUCCUUUUUCCAAAAUAAGAGUAUAGUUUUACAACAUUUUUUACGUACAUGGAGAGUGCCUCCGUGGCCGAGUGGUUAAAGGUCGCUGACCUCAAAUCACUGGUUUCCCCCUAACCGAUGUGGGCUCGCGUCUCGUUUAGGGCGUAUAAUUCUUCACGUGAGGAAGCCUUCCACCUUCCUUACAAAAGUUCGGUGAUUCUACCUAGGUGCCAGCCCGUGAGGAAAUAAUUCCCGGUGGGGUACCUGGGGUCUUCCUCCGCCGUGAAAAACAGGAAAGUCGGCAUAUGACCUAUAAUUAUGUCGGUGUAACGUUAAGCCUAAAAUAAAUAAAUAAAUAGAUUAAUAAACAAGAGAUAAAUAAAUAAAUGGAUGGUUUGUCGAAGAAAAUUUGAAGCAGUAAUACAUGAAAUGUAUGUUUUCAAAGGAGAGAAACAAAUUCCUUCCAACUAAAGACCAACAAUUUCCCCCUCAACAAAAAAACAAAAAAAAACAACUACAACAACAGAAGACGGAUCCUAAAAUUACGCAUUUGAAAAGAGAUCGUAUAUCGAUUUUGAAUGUUUAUAUAAAUCAUGAAAAUUAUAUUAUCACGACAAGUUUCGUUAUUGUCAUAUUAAAAACACAAUGUUCAGUUCAUCUGCAAAAUAAUUGACAGAAUUUAAAA